rnacentral:rRNA from 1 species
AAACCGCCUAGAGGUAAACGGGUGGAUCCGCAAAGUCGGCCCGCGGAAUUCAGCUCGGAAGGCCGUGAGCCUGCGGUAGGUCGGGGAUCUUGUCGACCCUCCUGCUGCGGGACCUCGCGUCGACCGUGUGCACUUUCCGCGGGCAGAGCGCCACGACCGGUUCUCGGGCGGUCAGAAGGCGGCGGGGAUGGUAGGCGUGCGCUUCGGUGCGCGCUGGUAUAGCCCCGCCUGUCCCGAUCCGCUUGGGGACCGAGGAGCCGCCGCUAGCGUAGGCCGCCUUGCCUUCCCGGGGGGUUCGACUGGCAGAGACUGGGCAACCGUGUCUGCCGACCGCCUCUUGGUGACGGAUGGGGUGGGCCCGCUAGCACAGGGUCGGUGGCGAAUCGGUCGGCCCUCCACCCGACCCGUCUUGAA